UACGAAGGGGGCUAGCGUUGCUCGGAAUUACUGGGCGUAAAGGGCGCGUAGGCGGACAGUUUAGUCAGAGGUGAAAGCCCAGGGCUCAACCUUGGAAUUGCCUUUGAUACUGACUGUCUUGAGUACGGGAGAGGUGAGUGGAACUCCGAGUGUAGAGGUGAAAUUCGUAGAUAUUCGGAAGAACACCAGUGGCGAAGGCGACUCACUGGCCCGUUACUGACACUGAGAAGCGAAAGCAUGGGGAGCGAACAGG
rnacentral:rRNA from 1 species